GAGUGCUGGGUGGCAAGGGGGUUUGGUCACGAGUCGGCCUUUGUGCGCGACUGAUGGGUGAUUGUACUUGACGUCGAAGGCAUUGUAAGCCACCUUCCGAGUGGGGAGUUCGUUUUGUUAUUUCAAAUCGAGCGAACUGCGACAACGUCGAUUGUGACGGGGCGCUAAUGAAAUUUGGCCCGUGACCCGAUGUUGUGUCCCUGCAGUUGAUUUUAACUCUCUGGUUGUGUUGUUGGUUGUGUUGUUGGUUGUGUUGUUUGAUGAGAUUCGUCUAAUGGCGUGGUGAUGUCAAGUUGCUUGUAGAUCUUAGGUUCAACCUUCGAUCUUAGUUUUAAGCUUAACCGGUCUUUUCACGAGGCCCGCAUGAUCGGUCUGAUUGUAUGGCAUGUUCUUGUUUGAUUGUUGCCUUACGGUUGGAUUGUUAGUGUAACCGAUGACAUGAUGUGGCUUGUUAGUCUUAAAACUUGGGAUGGCGAUUUGGUAUUGUUGUGUCGGUUGAUGAAUGUUGUCGAACAGUGAGGCAAGGGUUUGUUAAUUCGUUGCGUUGUUGAUGAAAUUCGUCCCACAAUGUGGUGGUGUCGAGUUGCCUGUGGAUCCUAGUUUCAAGCUUCUCAAGCUUAAAACACAUGGAACUUCGGUUGGCGACUAGGCAUCGUCUCGUUGGGUCGAUGAAGGUCGUCCAAUGAUGCGUUGGUUAUAAUAUUUUGUUCUCGCAUCGUUCGGUGCAUUUUGGGGUC
rnacentral:misc_RNA from 1 species